rnacentral:rRNA from 1 species
GAUGAACGCUAGCGGCAGGCUUAAUACAUGCAAGUCGAACGGUAAUCCCGACAGCAAUGUCGGGACAAGAGUGACGUACGGGUGCGUAACACGUAUGCAACCUACCUUGUACAGGAGGAUAGCUCGGGGAAACCCGGAUUAACCCUCCAUGAGAUCCCGAAACGGCAUCGUUUCGGGAUUAAAACUCCGGUGGUACAAGAUGGGCAUGCGUCUGAUUAGUUAGUUGGCGGGU